UGUGGAUCGGGCUCUGUAACCAUUUGAGGAUAGAUGGGUUUCCAACCUAAAACCAAUUGGUGAUAAGUGGAGUGGUCUAUCUAUCUUAUAUAUUAAGAAGGAUCCCUUCCAACAUCCGAUGUGGGACACUUUAUGUCUAAUACGCCCCCUCGAGAUGAUGGCUCUUUGAGCGUCAAUCUCGGAAUGCUCGGGUAAGGAUCGAUUGGCCAACUUUGGGCUAGAUCGAUGUGGAUCGGAUUGUACUG
rnacentral:lncRNA from 1 species